GCCUGGGUGGCUCAGUCAGUUAAGCGUCUGACUUCGGCUCAGAUCAUGAUCUCACAGCUUGUGGUUUCAAGCCCCAUGUCAGGCU
rfam:Felis catus isolate Cinnamon breed Abyssinian chromosome B2, whole genome shotgun sequence.